AACGAACGCUGGCGGCAGGCUUAACACAUGCAAGUCGAACGCACCCUUCGGGGUGAGUGGCAGACGGGUGAGUAACGCGUGGGAACGUGCCCUUCAGUUCGGAAUAACCCAGGGAAACUUGGGCUAAUACCGGAUACGUGCGAGAGCAGAAAGAUUUAUCGCUGAAGGAUCGGCCCGCGUCUGAUUAGCUAGUUGGUAGGGUAAUGGCCUACCAAGGCGACGAUCAGUAGCNGGUCUGAGAGGAUGAUCAGCCACAUUGGGACUGAGACACGGCCCAAACUCCUACGGGAGGCAGCAGUGGGGAAUAUUGGACAAUGGGCGCAAGCCUGAUCCAGCCAUGCCGCGUGAGUGAUGAAGGCCUUAGGGUUGUAAAGCUCUUUUCGUCCGGGACGAUAAUGACGGUACCGGAAGAAGAAGCCCCGGCUAACUUCGUGCCAGCCGCCGCAGUAAC
rnacentral:rRNA from 1 species